rnacentral:rRNA from 1 species
CGCCCCGCAAGGGGAGCGGCAGACGGGUGAGUAACGCGUGGGAACGUACCAUUUGCUACGGAAUAACUCAGGGAAACUUGUGCUAAUACCGUAUGAGCCCGAAAGGGGAAAGAUUUAUCGGCAAAUGAUCGGCCCGCGUUGGAUUAGCUAGUUGGUGGGGUAAAGGCCUACCAAGGCGACGAUCCAUAGCUGGUCUGAGAGGAUGAUCAGCCACACUGGGACUGAGACACGGCCCAGACUCCUACGGGAGGCAGCAGUGGGGAAUAUUGGACAAUGGGCGCAAGCCUGAUCCAGCCAUGCCGCGUGAGUGAUGAAGGCCCUAGGGUUGUAAAGCUCUUUCACCGGUGAAGAUAAUGACGGUAACCGGAGAAGAAGCCCCGGCUAACUUC